GGCCAGAUAGUGGUCCAAUUUGGCCUGAAAGCCUGAUGUCGUCACAUGGCCCCUCCUCUUAGCGGGUCCUGGACUCUGAUUUUCCUCUUGUGAGACUUCUGAAAACAGAUGAUUUUCAGGGGCUUUCUGUUUCUGCCUUUUAGCUGCCAAGCCUCAUAUACCCCAGUUCAGGAAAUACACUGAAGGGGAAUCUGAUUGUGUAUUGCAGGGCCCCCAUAUCCUGAUGACAAAUUCUCUGGUUUCUCUGUCCCCAAAUUCUCAGCUCCUGUUGGGACAAGAGAUGAGAGCAGCUGCUGGAGUCAGAUCACCUCUCUGAGGAUCUAUUUAUUCCACUCCCAGCUCCUCAGCAGCUCUCCACUGCCUUCAGACCAAUGAUUUCUGCAUUUAAUUGGACCUUUCUUGUUUUGCUGGACAGAAGAACUGACCUGCUUGGGGCAGGUUACUCCAUAUCAGUUACAAUAAUGGAUAUUGUAAUUGUGAUAAAGCUAUGAAAGAAAAAACUCACCCAGGGUGCUAUAAUAGGCAAUAUUAGGAGUCUCUGGUUCAGGUCUUCUGUGGAAGCCACUGUGAUUUUCAUUAGUGUCCCUGAGCCUUGAGCACAUGGACAGGGCAUUAGCCAUAAAGAACCAGCAACUAAACAUCUAAUCCUUUCUCCAUCAGUCCUCUUGUGAAACAAGUAGUUUAGCCUCUGGUUCCAAUUUCCCUGACCCUGGCAUUUCUUCUUCUUAAGUACAAGAUCCUAUCUUCUAGGUGCUUUGAACUUUUGGAGGGCUUCCCUGGUGGCUCAGUGGUAAAGAAUCUGCCAGCCAAUGCAGGAGACGCAGGUUUGAUCCCUGGGUCAGAAGGAUCCCUUAUAGAAGGAGAUGGCAACCCACUCCAGUAUUCUUGCCUGGAGAAUUCCAUGGACAGAGGAGUCUGGUGGGCUACAGUCCAUGGGGUCACAAAGAGACAGACACAACUGAACGACUGAACAACAACAAAACCCUUGGAACAAAAGUCAGCCUCUUAAGAUGUGCCACGGAAAUUUCCUUAACCUAUUUAAAAUGGUACACAUAUGCUGGAAAAUCAGGAUAGUUUUUUUGUUGUUGUUGUUUUGUUUUUUAAUGGGGAGGAAGUAGAAGAAAUUCUCAUAGGAUCACAUACUACCAAAAACUGCUGAGACAUGGUCCCUAAAGAAAGGCUGUCUGAGGCAGGUGUCUCUACCUUCACACACUUGUUCUGUGACUGCUCCUAUGUCUGCCUCAGCAGCUUGGGAAUGAACACAGCUUUACAGAAGUAGUCCUUUGUAGAAAAUGAUAUUAAAAUCCUUCAGUUAGGGGCUUCCCUGUUCGUUCAGUGGUAAAAGAAUCCACCUACCAAUGCAGGAGUCAUAAGUCCGACCCCUGGUCUGAGAAGAUCCUACAUCCUCAGAGCAACGAGGCCCAGGCACUACAACUAUUGUGUUUGUGCCCUAGAGCCCAGGCGCCAAACUACUGCAGGCCGCGUGCCCUGGAGCCUAUGCUCUGCAACAACAGAAGCCCCCACAAUGAGAAGCCCGCGCACCACGGCUAGAGAGCAGCCCCUACUCCCUGCAACCAGAGAAAGGCCAGUGCGACAAAGACCCAGCGCAGCCCAAAAAUAAAACAAAUACAGUUAUUUUUAAAAAGCCUUCAGUUCCACUAUUACCAUAGGAUUAGGAUUGAGCCUAUCUUGACAAUAUUUUGUGUCCUGGAAUGGAAUGGAGUUCAGGGGACUUUUUUCUCUCUCAUUCUUAAAUUUUCAACUGACAAUACCUAGAGAUCAAGGAAGAAGUUUUGAAAAAUAGAGCCAAGAGAUGGAUGAGGCUGGAGGCAGGCUGGCUAGUGCUUGCUGGGAGUGAGGUGAUCCUUAAAUAGAGGGAAGGGUGGGCUUGUGUGCUCCCUGACAGCUGGCCUCCAGCUGAAGAACCUCAGUAAUAGUGUAGGGCUGGCAGGGACCUUAGCAAAUCUCAGGGAUCACCCCUUUGGGAGGAAAAAAAUGCUUGAAUAAUUAAUUCAAAUUCCCUUCUAAAGUAGGGUCAGAAUAAAAUGAAUGUUGUCUCGAUGGAAACCAGCCUCAGAGAUAACCUCAGCUAAUAGAGGAUAUGAUGGCUCCAAAGACAAACAAAACAAAGUGUAGGAGAACCAGAAGAAAAACAAAUGAAGGGAAGUAGGGAGGGAAUAAUACACAGGGUGAGUUGGGAGGAAGCAGCUACUUGGGGACAAGCCAGGGAAAAUGUGAAAGAAAAAAAAGAAAGCUCACUUUUCUGUUGGGGAAUGUUGAUACCAGGGAGGCUGUGGAUGUGUCGACAGAGGGGAUGUGGGAGAUCUCUAUACCUUCCUUUCGAUCUUACUGUAAAACUGUCCCCCCCAAUAAAGUCUUUAAAAAGGCAUUUUAGAAAAAGCCAAUCAAACACAUGUGUGUGCAAGCUCAUUUGUGUCCAAAUCAGUGACCCCAUGGACUGUAGCCUGCCAGGCUCCUCUGUCCAUGAUAUUUUUCAGGCAACAAUACUGGAGGGGGGUGCCAUUCCCUUCUCCAGGGGAUCUUCCCGACCCAGGGAUUGAACCCGUGUCUCCUGUGUCUCCUGCAUCACCUGGAGGAGUCUUUACAAUUGAACCAUCUGGGAAGCCCAGUCAAACAUGUAGCAUUGUAUAAUUGCUGGGUCUGCAGAGGCAUUUAAAUCAUUUAUUAGAAAAACAUCUUGUUCAAAGGUUUGCACUGUGACCUUUCCUCUAUUUAAUACUAGGGAAUAUUCCUUUUGGAAUUUUGGCCCAAGAGGGGAAGAAAAAAACAGAACCAGUCAGAACAGAGAAGGACCCCAAAAGGGGUGGACAAAUUAGCUCAGGAAGCUUCUCUAGAAGGUCUCUGCCUUUCUAUCUUGAUCCUUUGAGUUCUCAUCACCGUCCCUUUACAGCAUCUUCAUUUGUUGCCAUGC
ensembl:lncRNA